AUGCAUAAAGCAAACCACAUGCCACGGCAACACCUACAAGAGGGUGGGGGAAGUUUUCAACAAAGAGGCGUGACUAGAAAAUGUAGCAAUCAGCUCAGUUACACGUCAGGAUUGACUUGUUUAUUUUUCAAGUUAUGCUCGAUCAGAAAUCAAAGGCAUCUGAGCCUGAGAUAUGAUAGCUUUUCCAUGGAAAAACCAGAUAAACACACAAGAAAAGCUGAUGUAACAACAAAGACUGUGGCCCAGCAUUUCUGUGUUCCAGGAUGAGAGGCAUUGCCAGGUCACAAGAAAAAGGAAGGAACAGAUAACAGGUAUGGAGCAGUGUUAACAAUGCAUGUUCUUUUUCUAUGUGUGUUGUUAUGUAAGAGAAUUAUUACUGGUGAAAAUCCACAAAGCUAACUUCACAACUUCUACUUAAACUUCUUUAAUCUCCUGCUUUGAUACAAACACUCCACAAUAGCAAGCUGUCUGUUACAAAACCUACGUAUCAGACUAAUCAUAAUUUCUUUAGAGGCUUGCAUUCCCUGUCAUUGUUUCUUACAGCUGUAAGCAGUGUCUUGCUGUCACACCAGCAGGGAGCCCCAGGCACAGACCACAAUACCAAUCUGAGACUCGCUGAGCGAAAAUCAGCUUUUUGUACCAAAGAUCUUGCACCUUUAUACUUAGAUUUCACAGCACUGCACAAUGCAGCUCUACCUGUGAUUGCCAGUCCCAAGCAUUACUUUAAGAUGCACAAAAGAAUAGUAAGCCUUCGUUCACACGUUGCUGACUUACGGCCACACAGGACAAAAGAGAGAUCAGGCAGCCUAACCAGCCUGACUGUAGCUUCCUCUCACCCCUUUUCCCCUGAACAGCAGCUUCAGCCCUGGGAAUGGCAAAGGAGAAGGAUGCUCUUCAAACACCAGCUCUACAGCUGUGUGUGAGACCAACUUUGAUUCAAAAAACCAAAGUAAACCAAAGCAAACCACAGUACAGAAACCAAAGCACAACAAAGAAAGCACAGAAGUGAGAAGGGCUGAGAGCUGUCCGGUUUGCCUGGCUGGAGCUAAAGCUGCAGGGCUGCCUCUAAGCUGCCUCUGGGCUAGAAAUGGUGGGAACUGAUGCAGCAGAGCUGCCUUGGGCCGGUACUCUCUGCCAUGACUUGGGAAAGCUGUGCUUUCCUAUUGUAUCACUGCCACAGGGCACCAGAUCCCCAUUACACUGUGUCCUUGAGAGGGAAUGAAACAGGAUGCAGCUGCUGCUAAGUCUACAGUCUUUCAUAUACUUUAAGUCUUUAUAAAAAACCUGAGCAAAAUAGGUUUAGCUAAGAAACUCUACCUACUACUUGUGACUUAGUCCUCUUUCUUCUGACAUAAUACAGAUAAUCUCUCAUUACAAGACCAAGUAAAACCCCAAUCUUCCCAAUUAGGCAAAAAGCAAGAGACUGAAAAAAUAAUUUAACAAAAUUUUCUAAAACUUUAGAACUUUGUUCUAAACCACAGAACAAUUCAUAUACUUUUUUAAAGCUGGAAAUAAUAUAUGUUCUGAUUAUAGCUCACCGUGGUUGCUUCUGAGUCUGGGUUUUUCUUGAUCUUCUAAAGGAAGAAAGCCACGCAAAAGGUGAUCUGAACCCCAGAAAGGAAGCUGAAGUGUUCUUUUGUGCUUGAGGAUUUGUGCAGGAUGACAUUUUUAUUUCUUGAUGACCUAAAAAUGUGAUAAAAAGUAGAUUUGUUUCAAGUUCUUAAUAAAUACAGCAUUAAAAGAUAAAUAAAUGUUUUA
rnacentral:lncRNA from 1 species